CCCUAAAAAUUUUCGUAUUCCCUCCCAACAAUUCUAAUUCUCCCAUUUAGACUUCAUUUUCAUUUAUCUUUCUCUAAUUCCACUGGCUUCUCCAUGAAGAUGAUCUCAUCUGCCCUCCUACGAAGGAAGAAAGAUGAAAGCUAAUCAACAAGUCUUUUUUUAUUUAAUUUGUUUCGCUCCCUCUCUUGGCCCUUUAAUUGUUGUAUCAAUCUAUCUAUAUAAUUUGAAAUGGUGAAUGUGAAACAUCAAAACCUAAGGCCGAAUUUUAACGAUAAUCAUGAGGGAUCAUCAUCAAGUUUAUUUCAAUUGGUUUCUUCACAUAACAUAAGGUUUCAUCUCUCCGCAGUUGGCUCUCACGAUUAACGGUUCACAAUAUACAAGUAUCAUGUUCAGUGUGUAACAUCUUCAUGUGGGAUGGAAAGGCUGGUGGAAGAAGUUAGAGGAGGCAUGUAUUGAGGAAAAAGUAGUGGCGAAACCAAAGAGAAAACCUACCGAGAAAAACAAAAAGGAAAUAGAAAGUAAAAAUGAAAAGAAGCGGCCAAGAAGAAAGAAAUCAAAGGUAAAAGAGAACGUGUCGAGGAAAAGGCAAAAGAGAAUGAAGGAAAAAUCAUGACGAGAGCACAAAGGAAUCAAAGGGUUAGAAUGGAAAAAAGUGGAGUUUUGACAAUGAGUGCAUUUUUGGUCGAUAGUGCAUUCCUUUCAAAGGAGGAUUCUAGAAGACUAGAGUGUGAGUACGAUUUAUUUGGGCAUGAUAGUUACAUGUACUUAAAUUGUGAUGAUUUUGAAGCGGUUUUUACAUUCACCGAGCUGACUGGUGCUGUCAUCACUUCUUAUAUAUCACUUCUUAUAUAAUGUUUCUGUAUGAGCAAAUUAAGAAAGAGCAAAUACAUGAUCGUGGAAUAUGUUUUAUGAACCCGUCUGUAAUUUUGCGGAAUGGUCAACGCAAACCCAAACACAUCGAGGAUGCAAGUAGAGCGGUUGCAGAUCGAUUGUAUAAAAGAAAGGGCAAUGACAUCAUCCUAUUGCCCUACAACCCUGGGUUUGAUUUUCCUUUUAAAUAAGUAUUUGUAAAGGCCUAUUAUCUUAAUUUAUUUUGAUUGAAUUUUGGAUUUUGAAGAACCAUUGGGUGUUGGCAGUACUAAACCUGAAAACAACUACUUGCUAUUAUCUUGAUUCCUUACAGCCUAGAAGUGUCGAUGAGCAGUUGAGACAAAUUAUUGAUACUGCAAUGGCUGUGUAUGUUUCAGAAAGUGGUGCCAACAUACGGGUUAAACUCGUAUGGAUUAACGCUAGGAUAAGCACUUAAUCCCUUAUGUAAAUUGUGGUUGUAAUGAUAUUGUAAAUAUUGACACCCUUUAGUUUAAACUUAAAUCGCAAUGGUUUCACAUUUCUUGAUAUUUUUAAUUGUGGUAGUGUCCACGUCAGCCAGUAGGUACUGAAUGCGGCUACUAUGUGAUGAAGUUCAUGAAGGAGAUAGCUUACGAAGGAGUUGAAAUACUUGACAAUGAUAAUGUUGGGAAUGGAGUAGAAGAAUACUCGGCUGCAGAUAUGGAUGGCAUUCGUGAAGAUUGGUGACUUAUGCGGUUAACUCUAUUUUAAGUUAUAAAUCGUAUUUUAGGUGUUGAUAAUGUAUUGACAAACAAUUCUUUUUUUGUUAACGUUAAAAUAUUUGUAGUAUACUUGA